GACGAACGCUGGCGGCGUGCUUAACACAUGCAAGUCGAACGGAAAGGCCCUGCUUUUGUGGGGUGCUCGAGUGGCGAACGGGUGAGUAACACGUGAGUAACCUGCCCUUGACUUUGGGAUAACUUCAGGAAACUGGGGCUAAUACCGGAUAGGAGCUCCUGCUGCAUGGUGGGGGUUGGAAAGUUUCGGCGGUUGGGGAUGGACUCGCGGCUUAUCAGCUUGUUGGUGGGGUAGUGGCUUACCAAGGCUUUGACGGGUAGCCGGCCUGAGAGGGUGACCGGCCACAUUGGGACUGAGAGACGGCCCAGACUCCUACGGGAGGCAGCAGUGGGGAAUAUUGCACAAUGGGCGGAAGCCUGAGGCAGCAACGCCGCGUGCGGGAUGACGGCCUUCGGGUUGUAAACCGCUUUCGCCUGUGACGAAGCGUGAGUGACGGUAAUGGGUAAAGAAGCACCGGCUAACUACGU
rnacentral:rRNA from 1 species